AACAGAUUAGAAGGCAAGGAAAGUAAAUCGUUCUAAAAAAAACUGUGAGAUUCGACUUGUAAAUGUGCAAUAACAUCGUUAUCUAAUCAAAUAUAUUCAUAUUGUUUAAUGCAGGUUAGUAAAUGACAUCAAAAUUGGAGGUUACAUCGAGGCGCUCGUUUAAAGAUACAGUAAGACCCUAAUUAAAAGUCCGAAUCGCUGUUCCGAAACAAUCGAUAUCAAAUAACCUCCAUGAUUAUCCUCGCGAAGUGAUCCUUUUGCUUUCUAUUUCUUUUUAUCGAUAUAUCAUUUAGGUUUGACAUGCAUAACAAAUUCCCUGGUACAAAAUUAAAUUUGCUAGAGAUCAUUGUAAUAGGACACUCGCAGAUCAACGACCUAGGAGACAGAUAUAGGUUGAGGGCGCCUGGUAUGCGGAAACAGGAUGGGUGUGACGCAGAGGGUGCAGGUUGAGGGUGGUACGUUGCGUCAUUGGAUGAUUGGUACCGCACGAACGAAUGGCGUUGCGUUAAAACAUCGUGUCUAGUUAACAAACGUUUAUCCGUUUAACUCGUUUCGUACGAAAUGUUUCGUACGAAAUAAGCCAAAGAAAACGAUGUCUCGUCGAGUACAGCAGAGUUAAAGUGCAUAAAAUUCUCCGAAAGAAGCCAGAUAUAGAUUUCCCUCGGCAACACGUUACCAAGGGCUACAUGCUUCUUCUUCCGUUACUGCAUGGUGCUUCAUGGCUCGUCGUGGGUGGCUGCCGUGAUGUCCUAAUCCCGCUAAGUCCCUAGGGGUGAGAUCGAUACAUCCAUUCCUCUUUCCCUCAUGUUUUCACGGUGAAAUAGAAGAGCAUCGAUGGUAGAAUUCUUAGCGUGGAAUUCGGAGAUGGAAGGGUUGGCGCAGAUGAAGCGUCAGGGAGAAACAUGCGCGGAAAAAGUCACGGGAAAGCGAAAGAAUCAAACAUGGAACAGCGGAAACAGGUCCUCGGCUUUUUGCGACAGAACAAAAUUUUGUGGAAUAUUUCGACAUCUGGAAUCCUAUUUAAAAAAAAAAAAAACAGAGAGAAACGAUGUAACGAGGACACGGAGCGUGACCCGGAUGAAAAAUUGGGACGCGAGUAGCCCGCAGUCCGAGGUCGAUUUAAAAAUUGUCAAAUAAAAACUGGAAUUCUCUGUACGAGCAGGAUUCGAAAAGAAUCGACAGGUCCAAGUUUGACAAAUUAUCGAUCAUAGGCGUCGAGUCUCGACCGUUUUCCGCGGUAUUGUCUCCGGUCCAUUUGCUAUUUACAUUUUACGAGCUGCUGGGGAAUUCGGGCUUCGGAGCGUAAUUGCCGUGAAUACGGGCCAGCAUGGCUGUUGAUCCGGCUCGAAAAAUAUAGGGAGAACUGUCGCGAUGUUCUGGCUCCGCCCUUGUCUUUCCGAAACGUGUAUUCCUCGAGGAUGAGGAGAAAGGUACGAAAGGAGGUUACGAACAAAUUUACUUGUUUUUCGUUCGUGUUUAAAAAUGUUCUACGGGGAUAAAAAUUUGCCGUGGAUAAAACUAUGGAUGGAUAAGCGUGUGUCUCUGCGAUAUAGACACGUACGUGCGUAAAGGGAUGUAUGUAUACAUGGUAUAUAGGAAGGACGAGGAGGCUGCGAGGAAGAGGAAAGCGGGUAAAGAAAGCGACAGAAAAAGAUAAAGGAGGGAGGGAUAGGAGGGCUGGAGGAAAGGAGGAGAGGGCAGGGAGAUGCAGAGAUAGACAGAGAUCGUAGCAAAGGGAUGAAAAGGUAGAAUGGUCGCGAGAGGGUGAGAGGGAGAGGAAGGAGAGUAGAGAACUCUGCGCGCCGCAGCGCUACGGGGUGGUUGCCCUCGUCUGCGCUUUGUGGGAAAUGCCCGCUCAAUAACGCGUAGGUCCUCGUCUGCCCCUUCUCACCCUCGGAGGCAUCGCAGCAAGGGCCACUGCCCCAAAAGGCAUGGCCACCCGUCUAACAACCCUUAUCCUACUCUCCCUCCUACCCAGAAGACACUCCUCGAGUCCUCCUCCUCCUUCGAACGUUUCGCGCCGUCCGAAAAGGAUCGAACCUUGGUCCUUACGUCCAUGUCCAUGUCCACGUCAACUCAGGGACGAACCCUGGAUCGAUGCACCCGGAUCGAUCGAUCGUAGCGAUCGCAGGAAUCGCGAGCGGAUCACCUAAACGGAAGACUUAACCAGAAGACCGUCCUUCGACGACGUCCUCCUCCGUGACGUACAUUGUACGAUAUUAUCCCGUCAAGUGGAGACAAUCAACAGCGAUAAAUUAGGAGAAACGAGAUCGAAUUGCUGUACGGAUCGCGACAGAGACACUUACACUCCUCGACAAGGUGACACAACACGCUUAACCCUUCGACACCGACGAUGCUGGGUCACUUUUCCGACGUUAAUUUCGGAAGUCCCGUUCCUCUGUCAUCGAGAGCGUCGAGCCGUGUGUUUACAUUGUAACUGGAUCCGUAGCAAUCGGUUCUCUCCGCUAUUCGAACUUUUAGCGACAGAAACGUUUCGAACUUGAUCGCAAAAGAAGUAGUUCUCGGGACGAAAUGUUAACGAAAAAAAUUGGUUACGAGGCAACAUUAAUACGGUAAUAAUAUUUGCACGUAAAAAUUUGAUUUUAAGCCUACUUUUGUAGCGCGUAUGGACUUGGAUUUCCGAGAUGGAAAUAUGGACUUGGACUCGGACUUGGUGUCCGAGGGUUAACCGUUAUCGUAUCGAAAAAUGUUGCGCUAACGCUACUCGAUAUGUAAAAAAAAAAAACGAAUAAAAAAAAAAUAAAUAAAUAUACAUGUCGAAUUGUGUAACAUCCUCCUUUUCGAAGUCGGUUAAAAACAACGCGACCGAAGAAAACGCUCGAAGAAUCUUGCUCGAGGAUGCCUAAUACAAUCGUUUGAAUCCAGUUCAAUAACGACGAAUAAUCGGGAUACGGCUCGACAGAAUUCAUCCCAACGUAGAGAUCGUACAGAAGGAAACAGUUCCUAUCGAACAAGAAGAAUGUUUAUUGAUCCGGCAGGGGGUGGAUAUAGCGAGUAUGGCUCGUACAAUACUUAAACGCCAUCCGUCGCGAAAACUAUAAACGACGCCAAUUUACUUCGUUUGACGUUGGAAAUGUCAUGCAAAACUUAUGCGGACGAAUCCUUCUCGGAAAGGGUCAUCGAGUACCUCCGGGGAACAGAGUCUGUUCAACAGACCUACUAUUCUUAAUCGACCGAGGCCAAUUCUACGCGGGUGAAGCUUUACUCGUAUAUAAAAAAUAAAACGACACGAACUCGCGCGUAAUUCAAAUAUAUUCUUUUUGCAGAAGUGCGCGUACGAUGCGCAUACUUUUAGCGAAGCGUCACGAUUUCAAUGGGAUUCGUUAAAAGGUACAGUUUCGCGGAGCGAUUCAGGGGGAAUAACCCUGCACCACCCUAUACCGACGGAAUAUAUAAUCUCGGGGUCAUUGCCCGAACGAUCUUUGGGGGUUCCACCGUGCCUGCAACGAGGGUGAGGUGCCUCGGGAAUACCGAGCUGAUAUCGACCACUUUCCCCAAAAGCUAAAACGCGAAGACGAAAUUAAACGUCUCGGCCGGUUCCGUUCGUAAAUAUCUAAAAAGUUAACCGACAUGCGCACCUGGAAAGAAAAACGCUGUAAAUAGAAAGCACGGCCGCGAGACAAAGAAAUACCUCUGUGCACGUCUUUAUCCUUUAUCGCAGUCCAGCGAUAACUUUAUCGUUCGGGCACUUUAAAUAUUUGUUUAAAUUGUUUCAGGGAUGAGGAUCACAGCUGCCUCCUUGGUUACGGUUCGGCGCGGUGCCGCGAAUACCGGAAAGACAAUCGGUCUCGUUUAAAACGCGUCGAAAGCGAUGUAACACCGAGGGAUAUCGAUAGCGAGCGUUAAGGGAUUUAACGAUCCAUCCGUUCGUCGCGCAUUCGAUUGGUCAAUGGGGGGGGGGGAGCGAUUUCGUCGCAGAACCGUACACUGCGGUUGGAAUAACUUCGAUUCGGAUUUUACAGCAUGCGUGCAAAUAGAUGCGUAGAUACCGGCCGCUCGUAUCUAUUUAUAACGGCGACGGAUCGCGGGGCAAUUGACCGCGUGGCCUUGACUUCCUGUUGACCCGAGUGCCCCUAGGGAAUUUUGGCGUACCUCGUGGAAUCUCUUGCCGCGAUGCUUGAAGGAAUUCGUCUAACAAACUUGUUUAUAACGCUUCGCGCGAACCGUACCGAAAAAAAGAAAAAAGAAACAGCGCGCCAGGUCUAGCAUGCCCGAGCACGAGGACAAUUUUAUUCGAACGAUAGACGACGGACAAAAUCGGACGAAGAACGAUUUAUUCGCCGAAUACUCUGUUGGCGACACGCUCGAUAGCGAGGAUUUUUAAUCGACGCGUCGAUACGCGAUCUUCGAAAAGUAUCGCUUUCGGCCUUCCUAUCGUAACGAUUGACGCGUGCCUGCGGGUGGUGCGGCAUGUUUACAGCUGAGAUAUUUAUAACGACUUGAAAUAUCUUUUUAGACGAGCCCUUGCGUGCGAUCUACGCCCUAGUUGCUUGCGCGAACGAAGGCAGCGUGCGAAUGGACAGGCGCGAAUUGCGAUCGAUCGAACGCAGCGUGAAAACUGAAAGGAACUUUAAAACCUUUUUGUUUUAUCUAAAGAAAGAGAAUCAAAUUGAAAGAAAAGCGUCGGUACUCGCGACACGGCGCGACGUACGAAAAGACAGAGGACGGGAGAGCCCGGAGCUCGUUCGGUGUCUCAACAAAAUCGGGCGUAUCGAUUCUCCGCGAAUAACUUUGUUUAGCUUACUCCGGGUCUACGUGCUUUUUUUCUGCAAUCGGUAGGAAACCUGUUCGUACGAGCAACGGAAUGUCUGAGUGGCUGCCGUCCUCUCAUCUCUGUGCGAUUCCACGCGUAGUAGAACGAGUCGACCAGGUGAGAUCGUUCAUUCUGCAAGGGACAUAUUUGUUUCAGACUGCGAGGAGGUGGUGCACGAGUGGACGCGGCGAAAUCGAAGUUUGAAAACAACGAGGUGAAACAGGAAGGGGCCGGAUGGGCUGGGAAAGUACCAAGGGGGACGUGAAAAUAAAACGCUGCAAUUCAGGGGGAUACCAUCGACGUUCGCGUAAAUAGCCAGAACUUUAAAAACGAAUUUCUGAGCGAGAUCGGAAAGUUGAACGCGUCGAUAUUAAGAUAAAGAAAAAAACAAGAAAAGAGUUUUUCUAUGUCAAAAAUGUUCAUCGGCGCCCUAAUAACAGGGAUUCGAUUCAUCUCCGGUCUGUUGACAGAUAUUUGAAUUUAUUUCUACCAGCGUCGGCCGCAUUACGGUUCACAUCGAAGCUGAUCGGGCAACGAAUAUUAAUUGGACGUCGAGGUGCAGGGAUAAGACUAGAAAGAACAACGUAACGGAGAAGAAAGGAGGCAGAAAGAGACGGAUAAACUCGUAGGAGGUUGUGGAGGAUGUCGAGAAAUGAAGGCCAACGGCCUUGACCUUGUCCGUGACUUCGUAGUGAAUGAGAGGGAAAGAGAAGGAGAGAUACAAGAAAAUACACCGGUCAAAACAAAGUGGCCUGCUUUCUUCUUCGCCUUCGGUGUCUACGUGGCCGCGACAGGCAAAUUCAGGUAAACGGGCAAUCGAUAUUAACGACCAAGACGCCGGGUACCCACGGUACCCUAGAAAUGACCCCGGACGCGCAAAGGCCAAGAAAAUUCGGUUCGGUGAUUGUGGAUUCACCGAAGGAUGCCCGCUGACUCAGCCUCGUUUGUUUGGAUAACGACGAAACCUAUUAAACGGAAUUGCAAGCUAUUAGAACGGAAGGGUACGUAAUUUUCAGGUUUCGGCGAAAACGUAAAUGCAGCUAUUCUUAUCUCUGAAAAAUGACUCUUCGUAUUUACGUGUACACUUAAGCCUGAUAAGUCGGAACAUCGACCAACUGUUUCUUAUUUGCAUCGAAGCCCCGAUCGAGUCCUUAGUACGUAACGGUCUCGUCACGACCGAAUGUUUUUUUUUUUUCAAUUUUAGGUUCACGCUAUCUAUCUUUCAAUUAUUCGUGUCGCUGUUUGAUCUUGUUACGUAUCAUCCAUCGAAAAUGUUGCAGCGUAAGGUAACCGGGAAAUCGAAUAACAAAAAUAAUUAAGAUUA